rnacentral:rRNA from 1 species
GACAGAGGUGGCAAGCGUUGUUCGGAAUUACUGGGCUUAAAGGGCGCGUAGGCGGUGGAGUAAGUCUGGGGUGGAAUCUUACGGCUUAACUGUAAGACUGCCCUGGAAACUACUUUACUUGAGUCGGACAGGGGAAGGCGGAAUUCCAGGUGUAGCGGUGAAAUGCGUAGAUAUCUGGAGGAAGGCCUGUGGCGAAGGCGGCCUUCUGGGUCUUGACUGACGCUGAGGCGCGAAAGCGUGGGGAG